CGUCCGUCCCGGCUGCGGGGCCGGUCGGUCCUGGCUGGUCCCAUGUGCGGGUCCGUGGGCUCGGGGCGGCUGCUUGCGGGGCUGGGCACCGCGGCAUCUCCCUCUGCCUCCCGCCCUCGGCGUGACAGAGUCAUUGGACUAGUGACUGAAGGCUACAGAAAACCAGCUUAACCGAAGUUAUUUUCCAAUGAGACAAAGCAGGAGGAAAAGGGAGGCAAGAUGAGGCUGGCUUUUCCUUGCUCCCAGGCCACUUCAUGCCUGUGUUUCAACCUGAUUUUUACAGAGCACUAUUCGAAAUGUUACACAGCUGGUACAUAAGUAUGGGAAGUAUUUCUUUGUGAAGUCAAGUGCUAAUACUGUCAACUUCAAAUCUGCCAGAAAUCCAUUUCUGUCUUUAACCAUGUUCCCUGCUGGUGUGUAGAAUAAGGAUGUGUUAUUGCAGUCCUUGCUCUCUCCAGUGUUACAGUCUUCCUCAAACCCGUGCUGGCAGGCAGUGAUGACUCUGAAAGGAUCUUCCUGAUAGUUCCCUAGAGUGCAGAACAGAACAGAAGCAAGUUGGUUCCAUGGGAAGAGAUCUACAAAUGCCUCCUCAGUUCAAGAAGCGGAGUGUUUGGAACUGCAAGAGCCUAAGGCUUAUUUCAGUGGUCAUUCAAAGACAUGAGAGCUGCUUUAGAAUUCAAGUCCCCAAAAGUUUCUCUUGAAGAAAAGACCAACACUACAGCCUGAAAAGUUAAAAUUAAAGAUGGUUUGCUGCUAGACUGGCGAGCCCAGAUUGGACAGUGCAGACAUUUUUAUCAUCGAAAUACGCAACAAAUCUUCCUGCUCAAAACCUGUAUGUUAUUCCUGCAGUCUUUACCUAAAAUGGCAGCAAAAGUAGUGUGAUGACAUGGGCUUUACCCUGCCACCAUUGAAAGUAAUGACAGAACUCUUGACUCUGCAUAAAGACGUGUUCACAUUAACCAAGUUGCAUCUUGAUGACAUCUACAUUUUCCGUUCGCAGUUAGCAAAGGUUUUCAGGUUGUUUUUUUGGUUUUACUUCCUAUGGAGCCUAAGUCCAUCUAUACAAUUUCUUCUCUAGAUGUGCAUAUUUUCUCCUUCUAAUAAGCAGGAAGCAUUGAAAAGCCAGAGGAAAAAAAGGCAUGCUUUAUCGUUCCAAACUCGACACCAGUCCUGACACUCAGAUUAGCAAGAUGCUGCCAAUUAUGUGAUCAGCAGCAUCUUGUGUCUGCGUGGGCAGUAACAUCUUCUGUCACUGAAUUUUGAACUCUUGACUCCUUCUCUGAGUUGAGAUAUGGUACACCUCCUUUUCCCAACCAGGUCUUGGCACCUUGCUGAUACCUUUGCUAAAAAACCCUCAUUUUUUGGUAAGGGACACUCUGUACUAGAGAACAUCUGGUCUACUUUGUUAGGCUAUACUUAGAGAGGAGAUUAUUUUUCAUUAUAAUGUAUCUGCUUGCAUGACAGAAGAACAUUGUUAACAGUCUGUGACUAACCAUGUUGCAGUGAGCAUUCAGAUAAUCUAUUUAGAAUUAGGUCUGUAUGGCUGCAUGGUAGUAAAAAUGUUUGUAUCAGUAUUUCUUGUUUACUGAUAUUGAUCCUUUCUGUAUUUGGAUAUUCAGUAUGUUUUCAAUAGACCCAGCUAACUCAGGACCAUUUGCAUUAAAAAAACCCUAAAAAAAUAAAAGCAACCAGAGGUGGCCUGUGUGAUAGGAUCGUGUAAACAGCCUGAGGAAUUGUGUGGGAGUUUGCAAACAGGAUGCUCUGCCGUUACUACAAAGGAGACAGGCACUCGUUUUUCCCUUCUGUGCCUCAACCUGUGAUCUGUGCAGUCUGGAGAGUGGCUGUGACUGCUUUCACACUGAAAACUACAUCUGUAGUUACAGAGAGCUUGAAAGAUCUCCAGUGAGCUCUAAGAGCACAAACUUUAUCAAAACCGAGUGAAUGUGUCUCCUCUGUAAUCCAUCGUUUUCCUACUUAGAAAUAUUGGGAUGUUAGAUGAUUCAGCAUGACACACAAAACCCCUCAAUGAACUGUCAGGAUAUCGAUACCAUUUUUCUUGCUUGGCUGUAUAUAAAUUACAAAUUUUGUGAUUGUUAAUGUUUGAAACUUCCAGGAGACUCAAUAUGGCUGAAAAAUACUGGAGUAUGGAAUUAAAAAUUGGCUGCUGCUGUUUUUGCUGUAGGUGAGAAACAAAAAAAUUGUUCUUAGCAAUAGCAUCUGUUUUUAUUUUGCUGUGCAACUACACGGGAAACAUCUUGUACCUAGAAAUAUCGUAUUUGGUCUUUUAAAAACAUUAAUAUUAGAAGAUGGUUAAUGUAAAAGAUUACUCUAGAUAUUAUUCAUUAAAUACAUGGCAUUUUAUGCUUUAUGAAUUUAAA